rnacentral:sRNA from 1 species
UUGAAAAGCUAUGGCUUCAAUAAUUUUCUUCAUUCAAUAGUUGAAAAUUUUUUUCAUCAAAAAUAAAAUACUUCUGUAUGGAUCAUCCAGUUGAAAGGGGUUUCGGUAAGAUAAAUUCAUUUUCUUCCCUUCACACAGAAAGGGCUAUUACUGUCUCCAUUGCUCAAGAAGUUAGCUGUAUACAAGAAGUCAUGUUACUGGCUCAAGAGAAAGUCUUUUUCUUCAGUGCCCCAGGAUUCAAAGGUCGAGGCCAUCAUGCCUUGCCGCUCUUUUCUGGCUAUGAUGCAUGUGGGCCGCUGAUGUGAAAUAGAUGGACUCAGAUCCUCUAAUUGAAACGGAAACCUUGCUCUCUCUCCACUCCUGAGAUUCCUUCACACAACCCUAAGAAAAAGCUUCCCAGCGGCUGACCUACCAAACCAG